rnacentral:rRNA from 1 species
AGUGAACGCUGGCGGUAGGCCUAACACAUGCAAGUCGAACGGCAGCACAGUAAGAGCUUGCUCUUACGGGUGGCGAGUGGCGGACGGGUGAGGAAUACAUCGGAAUCUACUUUUUCGUGGGGGAUAACGUAGGGAAACUUACGCUAAUACCGCAUACGACCUACGGGUGAAAGCAGGGGAUCUUCGGACCUUGCGCGAUUGACUGAGCCGAUGUCGGAUUAGCUAGUUGGCGGGGUAAAGGCCCACCAAGGCGACGGUCCGAAGCUGGUCUGAGAGGAUGAUCAGCCACACUGGAACUGAGACACGGUCCAGACUCCUACGGGAGGCAGCAGUGGGGAAUAUUGGACAAUGGGCGCAAGCCUGAUCCAGCCAUACCGCGUGGGUGAAGAAGGCCUUCGGGUUGUAAAGCCCUUUUGUUGGGAAAGAAAAGCAGCAGGUUAAUACCCCGCUGUUCUGACGGUACCCAAAGAAUAAGCACCGGCUAACUUCGUG